GAUAGGUUGAGAGAGAGAAGUUGAGAGAGAAAGAGAGAGAGUUUGCGAGAGAGAGAGAAAGAGAGAGAGGUUGAGAGAGAGAAAGAGAGAGGUUGAGAGAGAGGAUGAGAGAGAGAGGGAGGGAGAUUGCGAGAGAGGUUGAGAGAGAGAGAGAUUGAGAGAGAGAGGGAGAGAGAGAGAGGUUGAGAGAGAGAGAGGUUGAGAGAGAGAGAGAUGGGGAGAGAGAGGUUGAGAGAAAGAUGGGGUUGAGAGAGAGAGGUUGAGAGAGAGAGAUUGAGAGAGAGAGAGUGAGAUUGAGAGAGAGAGGGAGAGAGAGGUUGAGAGAGAGAGGUUGAGAGAGAUAGGUUGAGAGAGAGAAGUUGAGAGAGAAAGAGAGAGAGUUUGCGAGAGAGAGAGAAAGAGAGAGAGGUUGAGAGAGAGAAAGAGAGAGGUUGAGAGAGAGGAUGAGAGAGAGAGGGAGAGAGAUAUCGAGAGAGGUUGAGAGAGGGAGAGAUUGAGAGAGAGAGAGGUUGAGAGAGAGAUUGAGAGAGAGAGAGAUAGGUUGAGAGAGAGGGAGAGAGAGGUUGAGAGACAGAGAGAGGUUGAGAGGUUGAGAGAGAGAUUGAGAGAGAGAGAGGUUGAGAGAGAGGUUGAGAAAGGUUGAGAGAGAGAGAGAGAGAGAGAGGUUGAGAGAGAGGUUGAGAGAGAGAGAGAGAGAUUGAGAGAGAGAGAGAUAGGGUGAGAGAGAGGGAGAGAGAGGUUGAGAGAAAGGUUGAGAGAGAGAGGUUGAGAGAGAGAGGUUGAGAGAGAGAGAGAGGUUGAGAGAGAGAGAUUGAGAGAGAGAGAGAGAUUGAGAGAGAGAGGGAGGGAGAGAG
ensembl:lncRNA